rnacentral:lncRNA from 1 species
AGUACACCGAGGUUUGUUUCAUACCGUUUCUCUCUGUCUCUGAAACGCGGAUGAAUUUGCCUAUGAUCAUGUUGUUUAAUGUUAAAUCUAGUUAGAAUUUGAGAGGCUCUUGUUUACUGGUGUGUUAUAGAUUGAAAUCAUAAAGUAACUAUUGAAUCUCUGUUUAUAUUGUUGCAUUUUUGCCUAUGGUUAGUCUUAAUUUUGUGGCAGCUUAACUCCGUCUGCAGCAUAAUGAAGUAGUAUUUCUUUAACUUUGGGAGAUAUUGUAUAAGACUAGCUCUGCAUAUGCUAUAGAGGAAAUCGAUUGAAGUAAUAGAUGUGGUACACAGGUUGUAAUGUUUGUUUAUUUGCUGUUUCUUUCAUCUUUAAUGGUAUUCCAAUUGUGGUCUAGUGUUCUCCAUUGAUGACAGGGUGGUUGAGUUGCUUUUUGUUGAUGAAUUUCCUAGACAUCUGCUCAUUGGUUUCCUAGACAUUAUGUGGAGCACCGUAAAAUGUGGAUUUUGAAGAACAUGACAUUAUGCAUUUGCUUGAAAGAUGAUUUCAUUGCUCAUGGCUUUGAUGCUCAUUAACAGGUUAUGCAAAAAAAUUAUGAAGUUCUAUUAGGUAAGACUCUCUGCCUUAUUCUUUUGUAUCGAUUCCAGCUUGUGAAUAAUACUAUUACUUUAAUAAACUAUUAGAGAUCUCAAUGUUUAUUCUCAUUGGCUAGAGUUUUUAAUGCUUCUGAGAUUGAACUAGGUAAUAUCUUAAUUCUUUUAGUAAGGGACCCCCCUGG